UACGGGGGGGGCAAGCGUUGUUCGGAAUUACUGGGCGUAAAGGGCUCGUAGGCGGCCAACUAAGUCGGAUGUGAAAUCCCCAGGCUUAACCUGGGAACUGCAUCCGAUACUGGAUGGCUUGAAUCCGGGAGAGGGAUGCAGAAUUCCAGGUGUAGCGGUGAAAUGCGCAGAUAUCAGGAGGAACACCAGUGGCGAAGGCGGUGCUCUGGGCCGGAACUGACGCUGAGGAGCGAAAGCGUGGGGAGCAAACAGG
rnacentral:rRNA from 1 species